CCAGACUAGUGAAUGUAAUGAAAUGAAACCACAGAAAAGUUAUGGUUACCCAGGCCCUGGGGAGAAGAGACCCUGAGAUGAGAGGUGGAACUAUACUCCUUGCCUCCAGUGUCCCCAGUUGCAUGUGACAAUGGUAGAAUGGAGGAAGAAGGGAAGUGAAGGCACAGAAUCAUGGAUGGAAUGACAAGUCAGAAGAUUCAUGAGCUGUCAAAAUGGAAAGACUUUGCAAGAAUCAUAGAAAACAGCAGCUACAGAUCUGUUAUUAAAUUCAUAAUAAUGAGAAACAUGUGGAUUGAUUCCCAUAAGUACUGAAGUUCCACAAUUCGGGGCAAGGAGGUGAAGAUGGACAUCUGGGACCUUGUUGCUGACUUCGUCACUUUUUGGAAACUAGGACAGGUUGCCAAGAGAAUCAAAACAUGUCAAUUUAUCUCUCAAUAGAAUUUUAUUACAGAUACUGAAUUGUGUUAAUUAUGUGUUAUAAGUGUUGUCUUGCAGGUUAGCCAGAGAUUUAUAUGUUAAGUUUAAAUUUUCACUUUUCUGUUUGUCUCCUUUAGUUGGUGUGUAAUUGUUUAAUGAGCUGCUUCAAUGAUGUCUGUCUUGGGUGUAGUUGUUCCCAACUAGUACUAUUUCCAGAUUUUAGAAGGCUUAAGAAAUCAGAACCCCUUUUCCCUCCUUAGUUAAAAAUGACAGAGUGAUAGAAUGAGUAAGAAGAAAAAGAGAGCGGAGAGUGCAGCAAAUUUAGUUGGAUAGAACUUAAAGUUUUGACUGAUAAAAACUGAGAUUAAAAGAAAAAUCUUUGAUGUAAUGUUACAGUGACUUUCUCAAGUCUCUGAACAUGCAGACUGAGUUCACCUUCUACAGCAGGUAGCACCAAGUGUCUGGAGCUUCCCCUUGUACCACUCAGGGCACUAGGAGUACACAGCCAACUGUGGGUAUCCACUUGUCAAGACAGGAGCAGAAGUCAUCAAACUGUGCACAUCCAGUUCCCGCGCCAAAGCUUACUGCUUUGGUCACCCACAAGAUCUAAAGAUGGGACAAUGGAUUAGGGAUGUCCAGAGGAACCCCUCUUUGUCAUAGCCAGAGAUGUAGAGAAGAGAUAAUCUGAAAGUCCAGUUCAAUUAUUUUUCUUAUGUGUGCUCCAUCUGAUAAAAGAACUGUUCCUAACCAAAGGAACUACAUUCAUUAAGUAAUAAAUAUCCAAUUUUAAUUAAUCAAGGCACAUAAAACUAACAGCCAAUUAGACAAAAUGAGAAAAAAACUAACCCAUGCUCUCACAAAUGAGUUGAUAUUAUUUCAAGCAAAAGUAAAGAAAUUUCACAUUUUAUUUAACUUCUGGUAAUAUAUUUUUGAAAUUUUUCAUCUGUGAUAACUAAUUAAUACUUUGGUGACCCCCCCCCCUGCCCCAGAGACCAGGGUGUUAUGGACUGGGAAUCACCAUCCCCUUCUUAAUCCUUGGAGACCUAAAUCACUCUUUAGAAGUCAUUUUCCUUUUUACUCAGGCAAUUAAUGACAUUAAAUGUUAAUGUGAAAUAGCAAACCUUCCAAUUCUGCAAUUUUCAUGAUGAAGUUACAGUCAUGGUUAAUCAGUAGUAAUCAAAUUUACCAAGUGCUGAGUUGUUUCAAAAUGAUUCAAUAAUUAAUAGCAAGAAUCAAAAAUAAAGUCAACUAUGCAGGAAUAAAGCAGUGGGUUCCAGUGAGGGAGGAGAGAAAAUGGGGAGGUGUAGUCAAAGACACAAAGUAGCAGAUACAUAGGAUGAACAUGUCUAACAAACAGCAUGAGGACUGAAGUUAACAAAAAUAAAUUGUAUUUGGGAUUUUUGUUAAAUUGAUAUGUUUGAUUACAUUUGCUACCAAAAAAGAGGGUAACUGUUAGGAGAUGAUGAUAUAUUAAUUUACUUCAUUAUAGUAAACAUUUUAUUCUCUUUGUGUAUUCCAUUGCAUUAUGCUGUAUGCUCCAAAUAUACACAAUAGAAUUUGUUUUCAAAAUAGCAAUGCUUUUAAAGAAGAAUAAAAUUAUGGCAUUUUUUGGUAAAUGGAUGGAGUUGGAGAAUAUCAUGCUAAAUGAAAAAAGUCAAUCCCAAAAAACCAAAGGUCUAAUAUUUUCUCUGAUAAGUGGAUGAUGAUACCCAACAAGGGUAUGGCGGGGUGGGUAGGUAAGAGAAGAAUGGAGGAUCUUUGGAUUG